rnacentral:rRNA from 1 species
GACGAACGCUGGCGGCGUGCUUAACACAUGCAAGUCGAACGAAGUGGCGAACGGGUGAGUAACGCGUAAUCAACCUGCCCUUCAGCGGGGGACAACAGUUGGAAACGACUGCUAAUACCGCAUACUUAAGGAGGGGUUUGCGUCUGAUUAGCUAGUUGGAGGGGUAACGGCGCACCAAGGCGAUGAUCAGUAUCAGGUCUGAGAGGAUGAACGGCCACAUUGGGACUGAGACACGGCCCAGACUCCUACGGGAGGCAGCAGGGGGGAAUCUUCCGCAAUGGACGAAAGUCUGACGGAGCAACGCCGGGUGGGUGAUGACGACUUUCGGGUUGUAAAGCUCUGUUAAGCGGGACGCGGUACCGGAAUAGAAAGCCACGGCUAACUACGUGCCAGCAGCCGCGGUAAUAC